UUGCUCUCAAGGGAAUCGAACCUGCACCCUCAACAUUGAAAGCAGGGCACUCUUCCGCUGAGCUAUCGCA